rnacentral:rRNA from 1 species
CCUACGGGUGGCAGCAGUGGGGAAUAUUGGUCAAUGGGCGCGAGCCUGAACCAGCCAAGUAGCGUGAAGGAUGACUGCCCUACGGGUUGUAAACUUCUUUUAUAAAGGAAUAAAGUGAGGCACGUGUGCCUUUUUGUAUGUACUUUAUGAAUAAGGAUCGGCUAACUCCGUGCCAGCAGCCGCGGUAAUACGGAGGAUCCGAGCGUUAUCCGGAUUUAUUGGGUUUAAAGGGAGCGUAGAUGGGUCGUUAAGUCAGUUGUGAAAGUUUGCGGCUCAACCGUAAAAUUGCAGUUGAUACUGGCAGUCUUGAGUACAGUUGAGGUAGGCGGAAUUCGUGGUGUAGCGGUGAAAUGCUUAGAUAUCACGAAGAACUCCGAUGGCGAAGGCAGCCUACUAAACUGCCACUGACAUUGAGGCUCGAAAGUGUGGGUAUCAAACAGGAUUAGAUACCCCUGUAGUC